rnacentral:rRNA from 1 species
CCUACGGGUGGCAGCAGUGGGGAAUAUUGCGCAAUGGGGGCAACCCUGACGCAGCAACGCCGCGUGAUGGAAGAAUGCCUUCGGGGUGUAAAGAUCUUUUAUUGGGGACGAAACAAAUGACGGUACCCAAAGAAUAAGCUCCGGCUAACUACGUGCCAGCAGCCGCGGUAAUACGUAGGGAGCAAGAGUUAUCCGGAUUUACUGGGUGUAAAGGGCGAGUAGGCGGGCUGGGAAGUUGGUAGUGAAAUUUCGCGGCUUAACCCUGGAACUGCAUUUAAAACUGCUGGUCUUGAGUGCAGGAGAGGCAGGCGGAAUUCGGGGUGUAGCGGUGAAAUGCGUAGAUAUCAGGAGGAACACCAGUGGCGAAGGCGGCUUACUGGACUUUAACUGACGCUGAGGAGCGAAAGUGUGGGUAGCAAACAGGAUUAGAUACCCGUGUAGUC